rnacentral:rRNA from 1 species
AUUGAACGCUGGCGGCAGGCUUAACACAUGCAAGUCGAGCGGAGAUGAGGUGCUUGCACCUUAUCUUAGCGGCGGACGGGUGAGUAAUGCUUAGGAAUCUGCCUAUUUGUGGGGGACAACAUUCCGAAAGGAAUGCUAAUACCGCAUACGUCCUACGGGAGAAAGCAGGGGAUCUUCGGACCUUGCGCUAAUAGAUGAGCCUAAGUCGGAUUAGCUAGUUGGUGGGGUAAAGGCCUACCAAGGCGACGAUCUGUAGCGGGUCUGAGAGGAUGGUCGGCCACACUGGGACUGAGACACGGCCCAGACUCCUACGGGAGGCAGCAGUGGGGAAUAUUGGACAAUGGGGGGAACCCUGAUCCAGCCAUGCCGCGUGUGUGAAGAAGGCCUUAUGGUUGUAAAGCACUUUAAGCGAGGAGGAGGCUACUGAGACUAAUACUCUUGGAUAGUGGACGUUACUCGCAGAAUAAGCACCGGCUAACUCUGUGCCAGCCGCCGCAGUAA